AGCGAACGCUGGCGGCAGGCUUAACACAUGCAAGUCGAGCGGGCAUCCUUGUGGUGUCCGCGGCAGACGGGUGAGUAACGCGUGGGAACGUGCCCUUCGGUUCGGAAUAACUCAGGGAAACUUGAGCUAAUACCGGAUACGUGCGAGAGCAGAAAGGUUUAUCUGCCGAAGGAUCGGCCCGCGUCUGAUUAGCUAGUUGGUGAGGUUAUGGCUCACCAAGGCGACGAUCAGUAGCUGGUCUGAGAGGAUGAUCAGCCACACUGGGACUGAGACACGGCCCAGCCUCCUCCGGGAGGGAGCGGUGGGGAAUAUUGGACAGGGGGGCCAACCCUGACCCAGCCUUGCCGCGGGAGUGAUGAGGCCCUUGGGGUUGAAAAGCUCUUUUCUGCGGGACGAUAAUGAGGGUACCGGAGAAAUAAGCCCCGGCUAACUUCGUG
rnacentral:rRNA from 1 species